rnacentral:rRNA from 1 species
CGGGACACGUGGUAUCCUGUCUGAAUAUGGGGGGACCAUCCUCCAAGGCUAAAUACUCCUGACUGACCGAUAGUGAACCAGUACCGUGAGGGAAAGGCGAAAAGAACCCCGGCGAGGGGAGUGAAAAAGAACCUGAAACCGUGUACGUACAAGCAGUGGGAGCACGCUUAGGCGUGUGACUGCGUACCUUUUGUAUAAUGGGUCAGCGACUUAUAUUCUGUAGCAAGGUUAACCGAAUAGGGGAGCCGAAGGGAAACCGAGUCUUAACUGGGCGUUAAGUUGCAGGGUAUAGACCCGAAACCCGGUGAUCUAGCCAUGGGCAGGUUGAAGGUUGGGUAACACUAACUGGAGGACCGAACCGACUAAUGUUGAAAAAUUAGCGGAUGACUUGUGGCUGGGGGUGAAAGGCCAAUCAAACCGGGAGAUAGCUGGUUCUCCCCGAAAGCUAUUUAGGUAGCGCCUCGUGAAUUCAUCUCCGGGGGUAGAGCACUGUUUCGGCAAGGGGGUCAUCCCGACUUACCAACCCGAUGCAAACUGCGAAUACCGGAGAAUGUUAUCACGGGAGACACACGGCGGGUGCUAACGUCCGUCGUGAAGAGGGAAACAACCCAGACCGCCAGCUAAGGUCCCAAAGUCAUGGUUAAGUGGGAAACGAUGUGGGAAGGCCCAGACAGCCAGGAUGUUGGCUUAGAAGCAGCCAUCAUUUAAAGAAAGCGUAAUAGCUCACUGGUCGAGUCGGCCUGCGCGGAAGAUGUAACGGGGCUAAACCAUGCACCGAAGCUGCGGCAGCGACACUGUGUGUUGUUGGGUAGGGGAGCGUUCUGUAAGCCUGCGAAGGUGUGCUGUGAGGCAUGCUGGAGGUAUCAGAAGUGCGAAUGCUGACAUAAGUAACGAUAAAGCGGGUGAAAAGCCCGCUCGCCGGAAGACCAAGGGUUCCUGUCCAACGUUAAUCGGGGCAGGGUGAGUCGACCCCUAAGGCGAGGCCGAAAGGCGUAGUCGAUGGGAAACAGGUUAAUAUUCCUGUACUUGGUGUUACUGCGAAGGGGGGACGGAGAAGGCUAUGUUGGCCGGGCGACGGUUGUCCCGGUUUAAGCGUGUAGGCUGGUUUUCCAGGCAAAUCCGGAAAAUCAAGGCUGAGGCGUGAUGACGAGGCACUACGGUGCUGAAGCAACAAAUGCCCUGCUUCCAGGAAAAGCCUCUAAGCAUCAGGUAACAUCAAAUCGUACCCCAAACCGACACAGGUGGUCAGGUAGAGAAUACCAAGGCGCUUGAGAGAACUCGGGUGAAGGAACUAGGCAAAAUGGUGCCGUAACUUCGGGAGAAGGCACGCUGAUAUGUAGGUGAAGUCCCUCGCGGAUGGAGCUGAAAUCAGUCGAAGAUACCAGCUGGCUGCAACUGUUUAUUAAAAACACAGCACUGUGCAAACACGAAAGUGGACGUAUACGGUGUGACGCCUGCCCGGUGCCGGAAGGUUAAUUGAUGGGGUCAGCGCAAGCGAAGCUCUUGAUCGAAGCCCCGGUAAACGGCGGCCGUAACUAUAACGGUCCUAAGGUAGCGAAAUUCCUUGUCGGGUAAGUUCCGACCUGCACGAAUGGCGUAAUGAUGGCCAGGCUGUCUCCACCCGAGACUCAGUGAAAUUGAACUCGCUGUGAAGAUGCAGUGUACCCGCGGCAAGACGGAAAGACCCCGUGAACCUUUACUAUAGCUUGACACUGAACAUUGAGCCUUGAUGUGUAGGAUAGGUGGGAGGCUUUGAAGUGUGGACGCCAGUCUGCAUGGAGCCGGCCUUGAAAUACCACCCUUUAAUGUUUGAUGUUCUAACGUUGACCCGUGAUCCGGGUUGCGGACAGUGUCUGGUGGGUAGUUUGACUGGGGCGGUCUCCUCCUAAAGAGUAACGGAGGAGCACGAAGGUUGGCUAAUCCUGGUCGGACAUCAGGAGGUUAGUGCAAUGGCAUAAGCCAGCUUGACUGCGAGCGUGACGGCGCGAGCAGGUGCGAAAGCAGGUCAUAGUGAUCCGGUGGUUCUGAAUGGAAGGGCCAUCGCUCAACGGAUAAAAGGUACUCCGGGGAUAACAGGCUGAUACCGCCCAAGAGUUCAUAUCGACGGCGGUGUUUGGCACCUCGAUGUCGGCUCAUCACAUCCUGGGGCUGAAGUAGGUCCCAAGGGUAUGGCUGUUCGCCAUUUAAAGUGGUACGCGAGCUGGGUUUAGAACGUCGUGAGACAGUUCGGUCCCUAUCUGCCGUGGGCGCUGGAGAACUGAGGGGGGCUGCUCCUAGUACGAGAGGACCGGAGUGGACGCAUCACUGGUGUUCGGGUUGUCAUGCCAAUGGCACUGCCCGGUAGCUAAAUGCGGAAGAGAUAAGUGCUGAAAGCAUCUAAGCACGAAACUUGCCCCGAGAUGAGUUCUCCCUGACUCCUUGAGAGUCCUGAAGGAACGUUGAAGACGACGACGUUGAUAGGCCGGGUGUGUAAGCGCAGCGAUGCGUUGAGCUAACCGGUACUAAUGAACCGUGAGG